UGGGGAAUAUUGGACAAUGGGCGAAAGCCUGAUCCAGCCAUGCCGCGUGUGUGAAGAAGGUCUUCGGAUUGUAAAGCACUUUAAGUUGGGAGGAAGGGCAUUAACCUAAUACGUUAGUGCUUUGACGUUACCGACAGAAUAAGCACCGGCUAACUCUGUGCCAGCAGCCGCGGUAAUACAGAGGGUGCAAGCGUUAAUCGGAAUUACUGGGCGUAAAGCGCGCGUAGGUGGUUUGUUAAGUUGAAUGUGAAAUCCCCGGGCUCAACCUGGGAACUGCAUCCAAAACUGGCAAGCUAGAGUAUGGUAGAGGGUGGUGGAAUUUCCUGUGUAGCGGUGAAAUGCGUAGAUAUAGGAAGGAACACCAGUGGCGAAGGCGACCACCUGGACUGAUACUGACACUGAGGUGCGAAAGCGUGGGGAGCAA
rnacentral:rRNA from 1 species